GAUGAACGCUAGCGGCAGGCUUAACACAUGCAAGUCGAGGGCAGCACGGGUAGCAAUACCUGGUGGCGACCGGCAAACGGGUGCGGAACACGUACGCAAUUUACCUUUGUCUGGGGCAUAGCCCGGAGAAAUCCGGAUUAACACCCCAUAAUAUAUUGAGAGGGCAUCUUUUUCGAUAUUAAAAACUCCGGUGGUGUGAGAUGGACCCGCGUCUGAUUAGCUUGUUGGCGGGGUAACGGCCCACCAAGGCGACGAUCAGUAGCCGGUCUGAGAGGAUGAACGGCCACAUUGGGACUGAGAUACGGCCCAGACUCCUACGGGAGGCAGCAGUGAGGAAUAUUGGUCAAUGGACGGGAGUCUGAACCAGCCAAGUCGCGUGAGGGAUGAAGGUCCUACGGAUUGUAAACCUCUUUUGCCGGGGAGUAACGUCGCCCACGGGUGGGCGAGUGAGAGUACCCGGAGAAAAAGCAUCGGCUAACUCCGUG
rnacentral:rRNA from 1 species